rnacentral:rRNA from 1 species
GUUCUUUCGGGAACUAGAGACCGGCGCACGGGUGCGUAACGCGUAUGCAACUUGCCCUACUGAAAAGGAUAGCCCUUCGAAAGGAGGAUUAAUACUUUAUAACAGAUUUAAUGGCAUCAUUAGAUUUUGAAAGAUUUAUCGCAGUAGGAUAGGCAUGCGUAAGAUUAGUUAGUUGGUGAGGUAACGGCUCACCAAGACGAUGAUCUUUAGGGGGCCUGAGAGGGUGAACCCCCACACUGGUACUGAGACACGGACCAGACUCCUACGGGAGGCAGCAGUGAGGAAUAUUGGACAAUGGGUGGAAGCCUGAUCCAGCCAUCCCGCGUGUAGGAUGACGGCCUUAUGGGUUGUAAACUACUUUUAUCUGGGGAUAAACCUACUUACGUGUAAGUAGCUGAAGGUACCAGAAGAAUAAGCACCGGCUAACUCCGUGCCAGCAGCCGCGGUAAUACGGAGGGUGCAAGCGUUAUCCGGAUUUAUUGGGUUUAAAGGGUCCGUAGGCGGAUUAAUCAGUCAGUGGUGAAAUCUCAUAGCUUAACUAUGAAACUGCCAUUGAUACUGUUAGUCUUGAGUGAUGUUGAAGUUGCUGGAAUGUGUAGUGUAGCGGUGAAAUGCUUAGAUAUUACGCAGAACACCAAUUGCGAAGGCAGGUGACUAAACAUCAACUGACGCUGAUGGACGAAAGCGUGGGGAGCGAACAGGAUUAGAUACCCUGGUAGUCCACGCCGUAAACGAUGGAUACUUGCUGUUGGGUUUUCGGAUUCAGUGGCUAAGCGAAAGUUAUAAGUAUCCCACCUGGGGAGUACGUUCGCAAGAAUGAAACUCAAAGGAAUUGACGGGGGCCCG